rnacentral:rRNA from 1 species
AGUCACUGACAUUAGAUACCCCCUGUAGUCCAGGGUGUAAACGCUGCAGACUUGGUGUUGGGAACCCUUCGGGGGUGCUCAGUGCCGGAGAGAAGUUGUUAAGUCUGCUACUUGGGGAGUACGUCCGCAAGGAUGAAACUUAAAGGAAUUGGCGGGGGAGCACCGCAACGGGAGGAGCGUGCGGUUUAAUUGGAUUCAACGACCGAAAAACUCACCAGCAGCGACUGUUACAUGAAAGUCAGGUUGAUGACCUUACUAGAUUUUUCAG